rnacentral:tRNA from 1 species
GCGGUCGUGGCGGAAUUGGUAGACGCGCAACGUUGAGGGCGUUGUGAACUAUGUUCGUGGAAGUUCAAGUCUUCUCGACCGCACCA